AUUGAACGCUGGCGGCAUGCUUUACACAUGCAAGUCGAACGGUAACAGGCCGCAAGGUGCUGACGAGUGGCGAACGGGUGAGUAAUGCAUCGGAACGUGCCCAGUCGUGGGGGAUAACGCAGCGAAAGCUGUGCUAAUACCGCAUACGAUCUAUGGAUGAAAGCGGGGGACCGUAAGGCCUCGCGCGAUUGGACCGGCCGAUGUCAGAUUAGGUAGUUGGUGGGGUAAAGGCUCACCAAGCCAACCAUCUGUAGCUGGUCUGGGAGGACGACCAGCCACACUGGGACUGAGACACGGCCCAGACUCCUACGGGAGGCAGCAGUGGGGAAUUUUGGACAAUGGGCGCAAGCCUGAUCCAGCAAUGCCGCGUGCAGGAAGAAGGCCUUCGGGUUGUAAACUGCUUUUGUACGGAACGAAACGGUCUGGGUUAAUACCCUGGGCUAAUGACGGUACCGUAAGAAUAAGCACCGGCUAACUACGUGCCAGCCGCCGCCGUAAUAC
rnacentral:rRNA from 1 species